UACGGGGGGUGCAAGCGUUGUUCGGAAUUACUGGGCGUAAAGGGUUCGUAGGUGGCUUGCUAAGUCAGACGUGAAAUCCCUCAGCUUAACUGGGGAACUGCGUCUGAUACUGGCGAGCUUGAGUGCAGGAGAGGAACGCGGAAUUCCAGGUGUAGCGGUGAAAUGCGUAGAUAUCUGGAGGAACACCGGUGGCGAAGGCGGCGUUCUGGACUGCAACUGACACUGAUGAACGAAAGCCAGGGGAGCAAACGGG
rnacentral:rRNA from 1 species